CCCUUGAAAGAGUGCGUAACAGCUCACUGGUCUAGUGGUUCCGCGCCGACAAUGUAGCGGGGCUCAAGCACACCACCGAAGACGCGGCAGUAUUUUGUACUGGGUAGGAGAGCGUCCCAUGAGGGGCGAAGCGGCCGUGUGAACGCGCCGUGGACUUCAUGGGAGUGAGAAUGCAGACAUGAGUAGCGAGAGACGGGUGAAGAUCCCGUCCGCUGGAUGACCAAGGGUUCCAGGGCCACGUUCAUCGUCCCUGGGUGAGUCGGGUCCUAAGGCGAGGCCGACAGGCGUAGUCGAAUGGAUGAACGGGUCGAUAUUCCCGUACCGGCUUUCAGCCGCCAAAACCGAGGCUUGGAGUACUAACCUCCGGGUCCGGGCUUACUGCUCCUUCGGGGGCGGGAUGCCCUGGCCUGUUGGGACCGAUCCUUGUAGUAGGUCAGCGCAGGAGUGACGCAGAAGGGUAGCCGGCCGCGGAGGUGGUCUUCCGUGGUCAAGCACGCAGGGCGUGGGACAGGCAAAUCCGUCCCGCAUGGGUCCGAGGUGCGAUGAUGGGGGCCUUAUGGCCCGAUAUCCGGUGAUCCCGGCUGCCGAGAAAAGCUUCGGCGUCAGGCUCAAAGCCGCCCGUACCCCAAACCGACACUGGUGGUCAGGUAGAGAAUACCAAAGCGAUCGAGCGAAUCCUGGUCAAGGAACUCGGCAAAUCACUCCCGUUCCUUCGGUUUAAGGGAGACCCCCGAUGGUGAACACACUUGCUGUGGGAGCUUUUGGGGGUGGCACAGACCAGGGGGUAGCGACUGUUUACCAAAAACACAGGUGCAUGCGAAGGCGCAAGCCGCUGUAUAUGCACUGACGCCUGCCCGGUGCCGGAAGGUUAAGAGGAUCCGUCAGCCUUCGGGUGAAGCGGUGAAUUCAAGCCCCGGUAAACGGCGGUGGUAACUAUAACCAUCCUAAGGUAGCGAAAUUCCUUGUCGGGUAAGUUCCGACCUGCACGAAUGGCGUAACGACUUCCCAACUGUCUCAACCGCGAACUCGGCGAAAUUGCAGUACGAGUAAAGAUGCUCGUUAAGCGCAGAAGGACGAAAAGACCCCGGGACCUUUACUAUACCUUGGUAUUGGCAUUCGGUGUGGAUUGUGUAGCAUAGGCGGGAGGCCGAGAGGCGCGGUCGCCAGAUCGCGCGGAGCCGUAAGGUGAAAUACCGCUCUGUUCGCAUUGGAUGUCUAACCUCGAACAGUCAUCCUGUUCAGGGACAGUGCCUGGCGGGUAGUUUAACUGGGGCGGUUGCCUCCCAAAGAGUAACGG
rnacentral:rRNA from 1 species